UUUACAGUCUACCGUUGAUGUUGUAGGAAGUACCGGCGAAGUCCAGCUGCCGCAGCAUCCCCCGAUUACCCUUCGUAUUGCUUGUAUCCACUGGACCACCAUUGAAUCGACGGCGGUGAUAGGGUUCUCGGCGACAAACCCAGAUGCUGAGUUUUCCAAUGGAAGCAGUAAUUGGACAUACGCAUAGAAGGCUGCUUGCGUUGACAUCUACAAGCUUUUGUAGCUUUCAUGCAAUAUACCCUUCCUUAGGUACAUUAUCUUUCCAUAAGAGAGUUGGACUACAUAAUAAUUCUUUGUUGAAGAGACGAGAUGAUUGUGACAAGGAGCCACUUUCUCUCUCAAGCUUUGCCCUUAAUUCUGAUGUUGAGACUUCAAAGAAAGAAAAUGUAUUUCUUCUAAAGAAAUCGAACUCGGCUGCAGGAGUUUCUUCGGACAAGAUAAAAACAAUAAAGAAUAGCUGGACUAAAACAACAGGUAUGAAAAGUGCUGUUGAAAUAGAGGAGGCACCAUUUGCUCCCAAGUCAUUCGUUGAGCUUGGUCUUUCUUCUCUGCUGGUUAAACAAUUAGAAAAAGAAGGUUUGACUGUACCUACUGAAGUCCAGUGUGCUGCGAUUCCUGUAAUUUCAAAGAAGCAUGACGUUGUCAUUCAAUCUUAUACUGGUUCUGGAAAGACUCUUGCUUACCUUCUCCCUAUUCUCUCUAUGGUUGGCCCUCUGAAGGAACCUAAUGGGGAGGAAGAAAAUCAAUCAAACCAGAAAAGUGGCAUAGAAGCAAUCAUUGUGGCUCCUUCAAGGGAGUUGGGGAUGCAGAUAGUUAGAGAGGUGGAGAGAUUGCUGGGUCCUGCACUUAAAAGUUUUGUUCAGCAACUUGUUGGCGGUGCAAACCGUUCAAGGCAGGAAGAAGCCCUGAAGAAGAACAAACCACUUAUUGUUGUUGGAACCCCUGGCCGCAUUGCAGAGAUAUCAGCAGCUGGAAAGCUCCACACGCAUGGUUGUCGUUUUUUGGUUCUCGAUGAAGUUGAUGAGCUCUUGUCUUUCAACUAUCGAGAGGAUAUGCACAGAAUACUUGAACAUGUGGGAAGAAAGCCUGCUGCAACCUCUAAUGGUGCUCUUGGUCCUCUUGCAAAGUGGUCCGAGCGACAAACCAUCAUGGUAUCGGCAACAGUUCCAUUCUCAGUUGUGAGGGCAGCUAAAAGCUGGGGCGUGAAUCCUUUAUUGGUUAGAGCCCAAAGUGUUGUUUCUCUGGAUUCCAUUUCUGCUUCUGGAGUUGGCUUAGUAGCUUCGACUUCCUCCACUAAAAACUUGGUAACCCAAGCCGCUGUUGGAAGCUUGCCUCCAGGAUUGAAACAUUAUUAUUGUGUUGCCAAGGCACAGCACAAAAUUGACACUUUAAGAAGAUGCAUUCAUGCUUUGGAUGCAAAGAUGGUCAUUGUCUUCAUGAACCACUCAAAGCCAUUGAAGGAUCUUGUUUUUAAACUAGAGGCAAGGGGAAUGAAGGCAGCUGAAUUACAUGGAAACCUGAGCAAACUCUCAAGAACAACCACCCUGAAGAAUUUCAAGGAUGGUGAUAUUAGAGUGUUGGCCACAAAUGAGCUUUCUGCAAGGGGAUUGGAUGUGCCAGAGUGUGACCUAGCUGUGAACUUGGAUCUUCCUACAGAUUCAGUUCACUAUGCUCACCGAGCAGGUCGAACAGGAAGACUUGGCCGGAAAGGUACUGUUGUCACAAUAUGUGAAGAGCCAGAGGUGUUUGUGGUGAAAAAGCUGCGCAGGCAACUGGGCAUAGGGAUCCAAUUAUGUGAACUUUCUGAAGGUAGGCUUCUUGUUUGCAAAGAGGAAGAAGAUGAGAAAUCACAGUCUAUGAGCUGAGUUCUUCCUGUUGUGCCAAUUUUUUUAAUGGUCAAGGUAAGGGAAAGAGCAGAAUGAGUAGAGAAUAGUUGCAAUAUCUAAGAUAUGUGUUUAUGUAGUAUUGUGGAAACGCUGUGGAUUGAGCUGCUACAAGUGAUUUCUCUUCUGAUGUUGUUGUGAUGCAUGUCUACCGGAAGAGAGUUCUCUUUUCUCUUAUCCUUUUGUUUGAAACUAAUAGCUUGAUUCCUGAUGGCUGGUGUUUGAAGGCAGCCGGAAGUAAUGUCGACUAGGUGUGCAAAUGAGUUGAGUAAAUUUGCGAGCUGGUUUGAAUUUGACUCGUUAACGAGCUCGCGAGUUGAAUUUAUCGAGUUUCGAGUUUGAGCAUAUUUUUGAGCUCGUUGAAUAUUGAGCUUGAGUUUGAUCGAGAUGAAGCUCGGUUUGAUCACUCAUCGUGCGGCUCGAGUUUGUUCAUCGAAGUGGCGUAAGGCGCAAGGCAUAAGCUAACUCUUCAAACCGAAUCACUUAUUGGGUUUUUUUCUAAUCGUGCGAAGGGAUUGUGAGCGAGUGUUAGGGUUUUUCUUUUUGCUUGUUGUGGUCGUGAGUGGGAGGAGUGGUGCCAGGCGAGUUCCUGUGGCGACUGAGAAAUU